CCCACUCUUCUUACCUAGAUGUCACCCCAGUCUCCUCGGUAGUUCAUGCUAUCACCUGUGGUUUGUUCCCCCUUUUCUCAUUCCCCAUUUUGCCUUUGCGUCUUGUGUUCUGCGUCAGCAUGUUUAUGACCAAUAUCUGAUACAUUUUUGUUUCUGGCUCACAGAACAGCCUGUCAGAUGAUGGGGUCCACACAGAUCAAACAAGGCCCCUCUUCUUCCCAUCACACAAGAAAGCUGCCUGCAACAAUCUUAUUUAUACUCUUUAUUUCUUUCAAUAAAUUUGAAUAAAUGUAAAGCAAACAUUUGAAAUAAGGAUUUAACAUUUUUCUUAAUAGCAAACGUUAACACCAUCAAAAUAUUUUAACAUUAUUCAUCGUGUAUACAAGACAUAUGAGAUUUAUCCAACAGACUCACUGACCCAUUUAAAAAAUCGUAAGUAUUUUAAUCCAUUGUGUCCUGGUUGUUUGAGCUGGUGCAAAUAAAGGAAUCUCAGGUCACGUUCUUGUGUGUCAAAUGUGUGUGUGUGUGUGGGGGGGGGGGGGGGGGGGGGGGGGGGGGGGUACAACCAAGCGAUUUAGUCGGUCUCAGAUGUAAACCUUUACUUUACCAGAUAUUCACUGUCUGCUGUAAAAUGGGAAAAAUGUAUACUAGUGUCUAUCCUCCUAAAUGACGUCUAGAAUAUCUUUAUUAACCCUAACACUAACCCUAACCCUAACUCUUGGAAGACUUAGGCAAUCAACAAUGUCUGUACAAUACAAGAAUGAUCGUCUAUCAUGGCCACCACGAUGAAUACAACUCGUAGCAACCACACUGGCCAAAUGCUGUUCCCUUAGAGAACCAGCAGGUGGUGCUCACACGACACUGGCCAAAGUGCUGUUCCCUAGAGAACCAACAGAUGGUGUUCACACGACAGUGGCCAAAGUACUGUUCCCUUAGAGAACCAGCAGGUGGUGCUCACGCACAACACUCAGAAUCACAACAGACUUCAAGGUGGACCUAGGGACCAAGGAGCCAGGUCCACCGUAGAGAUAGAGGGUACGUUUACAAUUGAGGUUGAUUCAAGGGCCAAAGUGUGAACUUCCAUCUGGAAUAAAAGUAUUUUUGUCUCUUGCUCAAGCGUAUCAAGAGGAAAUAGUCGUCUCGUAGACAUAUUUGAGUUAACAACGGCACAACGUCGUGAUAGCAACAGUUAAACUACAUAUCGUUGGGGAAAACAGUCACAAGGCAGUGUUUA